GUGAAGUGAAGGUAUCUACAUGUCCCCUUUUACAGUACAGUUGAGAGCCCUUCCAGAUUAAGACUAUAUCCAGAUCACCAAAAUAAACUGACAUCUGGGAGGAGUCUGGUGCGAGACCGCCAUUACAAAACUCAGUGAAACUGUGCUGUUCCUGAGAAGAAAGUGUCCUCACUCACAUUUUGAAGUCAAUCAUAUAUCCCCAUCUUAAAGGCAAGGUCAUGCUGCUACUGCCUCCAGAGUUUCUGUCACUGUAGUUCCCCUUCCCUAUGGGCAAAAAUUAAGACUGAUGUGAAAUCGCCUCACUUGUGUGCUCAGAGGGCUCCAGCAGCUGUGUUCACCUAGACAGGUCAAUGGCUGGCAUUUGCAGCCGGGCACUUCUCUCUCAUUCCUG
rnacentral:lncRNA from 1 species